rnacentral:rRNA from 1 species
CCUACGGGCGGCUGCAGUGGGGAAUUUUGCGCAAUGCUCGUAAGAGUGACGCAGCGACGCCGCGUGAAUGACGAAGGCCUUCGGGUCGUAAAGUUCUUUCGACAGGGAAGAAAAUGCCUAUAAGUAACUGUGUAUGUAUUGACGGUACCUGUAUAAGCAGCCCCGGCUAACUCCGUGCCAGCAGCCGCGGUAAUACGGAAGGCCCGAGCGUUAUCCGGAUUCAUUGGGCUUAAAGGGAGCGUAGGCGGGCGUUCACGUCAGCUGUAAAAUCGCGCGGCUCAACCGCGCCCCGCAGUUGAAACUGGACGCAUUGAGUUCACAACAGGCAGGUGGAAUUCGUGGUGUAGCGGUGAAAUGCAUAGAUAUCACUAGGAACCCCGAUUGCGAAGGCAGCCUGCCGGGGUGCGACUGACGCUGAGGCUCGAAGGUGCGGGUAUCAAACAGGAUUAGAUACCCUAGUAGUC